ACGAACCUCUAGUGUGCCAGUUGUUCCGCCAGGGGCAUUGCUGGUUGGCCACGUUCGGGAGGGAUAACCGCUGAAAGCAUCUAAGCGGGAAGCCUGCUUCGAGAUUAGUUCUCGUUCCACCUUUUGGGGUGGGUGAGGUCCCCGGUUGAUGAUCGGGUUGAUAGGCCAGGGAUGUAAGCAUUGUGAGGUGUUUAGUUGACUGGUACUAAUGGACCGAUAACCAAAAUCAA
rnacentral:rRNA from 1 species